rnacentral:tRNA from 1 species
GGCCGUGUGCCCGAGUGGUUGAGGGACUCGAUUGCAAAUCGAGCAACACCGGUUCGAUUCCGGUCACGGCUU